AGACUUUGAUUAUGGCUCAGGGUGAACGCUGGCGGCGCGCCUAACACAUGCAAGUCGAACGGAGAAAGGGGAGCUUGCUCCUUGAGUAUCAGUGGCGAACGGGUGAGUAAUACGUAGGGACCUACCUCACGGACAGGGAUAGCUACUGGAAACGGUAGGUAAGACCGGAUAAUAUCGAGAGAUAAAAGCAGAGAAGCGCCGGGAGAGGGGCCUACGACCCAUCAGGUAGUUGGUAGGGUAAAAGCCUACCAAGCCGACGACGGGUAGCCGAUGUGAGAGCAUGAUCGGCCACAAGGGAACUGAGACACGGAUCCUACUCCUACGGGAGGCAGCAGUGGGGAAUAUUGGACAAUGCACGGAAGUGUGAUCCAGCGACGCCGCGUGAAGGAAGAAGUCCUUCGGGAUGUAAACUUCUGAACUUACAGAAUAACAGCAUAGGGGUACCUAUGCAUGAAGGUAAGUAAGGAAAAGCCCCGGCUGACUACGUGCCAGCAGCCGCGGUAAGACGUAGGGGGCGAGCGUUGCCCGGAAUCACUGGGCGUAAAGGGGGCGUAGGCGGUCUCAAAGUCAGGUGUGAAAUGUCACUGCUCAACGGUGUCAGUGCGCAUGAAACUGUGAGACUUGAGGGGACCCAGAGGUAGACGGAAUUACCUGAGUAGGGG
rnacentral:rRNA from 1 species